UAGUGAACAGCUGUCACUCGUUUUUUGCAAUUUGACCUGUUCGGUUGUUAUUUCCAGUUAUUUCAUUUAGCGCUUCAAAUACAGAUAUAAAAUAACAAAAAAUAUCAAUAUUCUCCGCAGUGUUAAGGUGAUUGUAAAAAGCAAGUGCAGUGAAGUGUUGUGAUGUUGGUGGAGAAGCUAACAAAAAAGUUAUAAAGUAAAGGUGAAAAUCCAACAAAAAAGAAAAGAAUCGUGCAAAAACGCAAUAUCAUACAACUGGCUAAUUUAAAAUAUAUUAUUCUUAUUGGAAAUAAAAAAAGUGAAAAUUGAGGAAAAAAGUUAGUUUUCAGAUUGGAGUGAACGCUGUAAUUGGAAAUUUAAAAUGUGGAGUCCAACGCACAUACAAGUAACUGUUCAACGAGCAAAAGGUCUGCUGACAAAAGGCAAAAAUGGCACCAACAACUGCUUUGUCACAAUAUCGCUGGGCAAAGAGAAGUAUCAAACGUCUGUCAAGGAGAAAGCAGAGAUGAACGUCAGCUGGAAUGAGGAAUGCGAACUUAAAAUUCCCGAUCAAGGCAACCGUGCUGAACUCGUUCUGACCUGCCUGCAUCGCAACAAUCUCGGAAUUGAUGAGUUUCUUGGCCAGGCCACAUUGCCACUCAAUGAAAUGGAUGUGUACGACCGUCCACGUUCCAAAUGGUUCAAAUUGGAGAGUAAACCCGGGAAGGAGAAAAAGAAUAAAGAGCGCGGUGAGCUGGAAGCGCGCAUAUCCUUCAUUGUCAAAUCCGGCUCAUUGACCGAUCUAAGCAAGAAGGAGAAACACAAGUCUUCCAUUGGCCAACUGGCCUCUUCCGUGGGUGGCAGCCUGCUCUCGAUAGGCACAAUAGAGAAGCGUAAGGGCAUUAAGAAGUUCGCCAAAUCGAUUGGUUCGAAAAUGCAUUUGAGCAGCAAGAAGAAGAACAAGGAUGGCGAUGAUGUAUCCAAUUUCAGUGGUUCAUUUGCAAGCAUUGGCACGCCGAACAGCUCGAAUGGCGGAAGUCGUCGUUACGGGCAACGUGCUGGUGAAGCUGAUCCCGGUGUAAUAAGUGAGGACGAAGAUGAAUUCGUCUUUGACAACUUGUCACACAAAAGUUCAGCGAGUUCGUUGAAUAUACGGUCGAGUUUACAACCACCCACACAAAAUUUCGCGCCACGUAAUCCUUCACCGUUGCUGAACAAAGUUGGAGGUAAGCCAUUGUCUAGAAGAGAUUUGGUGGAGGAGGAUCUCGCCGUAGAUCCCGAACUAGAGGAGUUAGAAAACGACUUCAGCGUCCGUGCACGAACACUGCCGCCGCCCUCGAAACCACCACGCACACAACAACAACUCAACGACAUGAUAGCCUCGUCGCCGAAGCAGAAGGAACCGACCCUAGAUGAAUGGGAAUCUAAAUUAUAUAAACAAAACUUACAGAUUGGCAGUACCGAUUCCUUGAAACGACGCUCUUGGGAGCAAUCGCGUGUGCCCCUACCAACACCCAAUGAAGAGGCCGAGGAGAAACCAUCAGCAAACGAUGAUGCAAAUAAGGUGGCCGAGAAGAAAGACGAACAAAGUAUUGUGAAACCAGCAAAUGGGUUCUCUAAUGUGAAAAGUUCAGAUGUGCAUACCGAGAGCGAUUCUUCCUUAUCUUCUUCAGAGUCCGAAGAGGAAGAGAAGCAAGUUAUGCCUGAACCGAUUAAAACUGAAGUCAAGGAAGUCGUUGCUAAAAGGCCACAAGAGCUUAUUAUAAACCCUAAACCCGUGACAGCUACACAAAACAUUAGUCUACUUUCGCCCGAUGAAGAGACAAAAGAUUUCAAUGAACUCAACGCUUCAUUUGCCAAAUUCGAGCAACGCAAUAAAUCGCACUUAUUUGAUUUGGAUACAGAUAAGAAGUGGCACACACAAUCCUUCAUACAGGCAGAAUCCAAAGUGCCGCCUGUGCCAAAGGCCAUGCCACGUAACCGCGAAAGGGAAGCGGAACUAAAGCGCGCUGAAGAAGAGCGAGAACUCGAACUCAAACGCCAAGCUGAGGCGCAGGCUAAAGCUGCAGCUGAAGCUGAAGCAGCGGCAGCGGCCAAAGCUGCUGCAGACGCCGAAGCCGCAGCCGCAGCUCAGGCACAAACUAAGCGCCAGCGCCAAGCCGAACUUGAAGCGGCUACAAUUGCCGCCGAGGUAGAACGCAACCGUCGCGAAGCGGCUGAGCGCGAAGAGCGCAAACGCGCCGCAGAAGAUGCGCGCCUCGAAGAGGAGCUACGCAGAAAUGAGCAGCGCUUGCGUGAAGAAGAGGCGGCUUUACAAGAGGAGAUGCGGCAGCGUGAGGAGGAGAAACGACGCGAAGCCAAGCGACGCGAGGAAGAUCAACGCAUACUGAACUUUGCCAAACGAUCGACAUCGCUCGAGGAUGAACAAAGUCCCUACAGUAGCACGCCCGAGCAAUCGCCCAGUGAGAUUGUGAGUGAGAAACGCGAAAGGCGCUUGGGCAAAUUCAAGUAUCUGAAUAAGCGAGAGAAAAGCGAAGAUAAUCGCUCCACACCAAGUCCAAAAGCCAACGAACGCAUUAUAAUCGGACAUGAGAAAUCCACAUCACACGCGGAACGUCGCUCGGAGAUAUCCGCCGCACUGGCCAAAAAAUACGAGGGCAAAUCACGAGAGGAACUCAUGCUGAUCGCGAAUGGCAUGGAGAAUGAAGCGUUGCUGCAGCGUCAACGUGUCAAAGAACUGGAGGAUUACCUGGAUAAUUUGUUGUUGCGCGUGAUGGAGACACACCCCAAAAUAUUGCAGAAUCCCUACUCACGAACGACAUCGGCAAAGAGUUUUAAAAAUUACAUCAAUAUGAAUGACUUUUUGUAAAGAGCGAGAGUGAAAGAAAGAAAGAAAGAAAGAUUGGCGAAGCGUGAUGUAAUACCAACCGAUUGGCAGUUCGCAUGUCAUUGCCAGGACAACGGCUGAACAUUAAUGAAAAUAUCACAGUUAUUUAUAGCAAAUAGUAAAGUUACGCGCGCUAAUUAAAAACAAAAACAAAAACAAAAUGUUGCAUGAUUACUUUGAGCGCCUUCCAAGCAGCUAAGGACGGACAUGAGCGCUGUUAACACGGAGCCGAAUCACCGAGUUGCCUUAGAGUGAAAAUUCAAAGUGCUUUUUUUAGACUAGUUAUAUACAUAUAUAAAUUUACACAAACAAAAACUAUAGCAAUGUAUGUAAAAAUAUAUGUGUGCGAGUAAAACAUAAUUUUGCAAUCAAUGUCAUUUUGUUAGUUAGAAAUGAUUUUGUUUCUACUAAUACAGUUAAAUUAUUAUAUAAAAAAAUAUUUUUUAAGUAAAAGAAUCACAAAAUGUAUUUAAAAAAAAUUAACGGUAUUUAGUGCAGCGUGCUGCAGCAACGUAUACACCACAACUCAAGAUUUAAUGAUUUUAAAUUUUACUCCCAGCAACGGAAAGCAAGCUAAGUUAAGUUAAUUUAUUAAUCAAUAAUUAAAAA
rnacentral:misc_RNA from 1 species